UACGGAGGGGGCGAGCGUUGUUCGGAAUCAUUGGGCGUAAAGCGCGUGUAGGCGGCUUGGCAAGUCGGGUGUGAAAUCCCGGGGCCCAACCCCGGAACUGCAUUCGAAACUGCCUCGCUAGAGUCCCGGAGAGGAAGGCGGAAUUCCCGGUGUAGAGGUGAAAUUCGUAGAUAUCGGGAGGAACACCAGCGGCGAAGGCGGCCUUCUGGACGGUGACUGGCGCUGAGAAGCGAAAGCGUGGGGAGCAAACAGG
rnacentral:rRNA from 1 species